UAACUUUCAGCAAUGGAUCUCUAGGCUCUCACGUCGAUGAAGAACACAGUGAAAUGUGAUACGUAAUGUGAAUUGCAUAAUUCAGUGAAUCAUCGAAUCUUUGAACGCACCUUGCACCUUUUGGUUAUUCCGAAAGGUACACCUGUUUGAAUGUCAUGAAACCC
rnacentral:rRNA from 1 species